AAGCAAGGAGCGGGUACGGCAGCCCUGUACCAGCCAGGCCCUGCCAGCUGUUCAUUGUGACCCCAAGUGCUAUAAAAUGGAGAUAAUUACCCGUCUCCUGGCUCCGUGUUGGGUUUACCGUGAACAUCAAAUGAAGUAGCAAGCGUGGAAGUGUUCUACCCAAACGCUUCAAGGACCUCGGGAUCGUUUAACCCAGUUCAUUGUGAUUCCAGGAGAGGAAACAAGUUCGGAGUGGCUUCAACUUGCCCAUGUCCAAGGCAGAAGUGUCUCCUCUCCCCCUCACUGCGCUGUUACUGCUAUGAUUCAGAGGCCUUGCAACAUUUUGUCACUGAAGGAAAAAAAAAAAAGAGUUCAACUAUUA